CCUUCCCUCAGGAUCCUUCAAACUAUCUAUUGACUCAUGUCCUAAGCUGAUAUUGCCUAAUCUUGAUGGAUUCAAGUACUUGGAAGAGGUGUCAAUAAGAUACUGCAAUUCCAUUGAAAGAGUGGACCUUUCACAAUUGAAUCGUCUAAAACAAUUACAGGCUAGGGAUUGCGACAAUCUAGUUGAAAUUCGAGGUCUUGAUAAGGCGGAGUUGUUAGAGGCAUUGAAUAUCUCUAAUUGUAGGUCCAUUAAAAGAUUACCUGACCUACCAUGCUUCGGGACCCUGAAAGAGUUGAAUAUCAAUGGUUGUCACAAUUUACGUGGUGUCCAGAGUCUCGAGAGAUUCUUGUCUUGCCGAAGCAUAUAUAUAGAGGGGUGCCAAUCCCUAGAAAAACUACCAAACCUAUCGAAGUUUGAAAAUUUAGAGGAUUUCACAUUGAUAGAUGCCUUUGGUGUUACAGAAAUUCCCGGGGUUGAGGAAUCAGGAUCUCUAACUUAUAUAAAUAUCACAAGAUGUGAAUCAAUUGAGACUUUGCCAGAUUUGUCGAGAUGUGAGAAGUUACAAUCUCUACUGGUACGAGACUGCAUGAAACUUACUCAGCUUAGGGGACUUGAAAAGUUGGAUUUAAUUUGUUGGGAUAUUUCUGGGUGCAUCUCAUUGGAAACGGUACCGGAGUUACCUCGAAUAAGUCUAUCUUCGAAUCAUGAGGCAUGGGAAAAUGGAGGAGUGGGUGAUAAAAUUAUGUUGCGAUGAUAAUGGUGUGAUAAUUCUAAUAUUCAUGUUACAUCAACUGAGACGAGUCAUGUUUUCUUAAUAGAGGUUUCUGCAAUUUCCUAAUUCCCAGUCUUACAUAAUUGCAAGAGUGGGGGAGCAUGACGCUUCAGCCAAGAUCAAAAUGUAGAUGCAAAUGUAGUUGGACGUAUAUUAGAAGGCGUUGGUCAUCUGAGACGGAUCAAAAUGAAGAAGAGGGCCGAGGAAGCAUCAGGGACAGCUAAGGGCCAUCUUUUUGUGCCGACCUUGGAGAGGCUCACUAACCAACUGAAGUGUCUUGAGGAAGUUUGCUAUGCCUGUGAAGAUCGAAGCACUCAAUCUAGUCUCAACAGCACACAACUGAAUGAUUGUGAAUGUAUUCAAUUUCGAUGGAAUCUGUUUUUUGUAUGCUCAUUAGGUUCUACCUCUCUAUUCAUCUUACGCUGAUGUAGAGUUUGAUGCAGUUGUGUUCUCAUGACGUCAUUCCCGAACUCAACGAGGCUCUGCAGGGGAGGUCGUCCAAAACUUCUGCACGACUUGCCUCGGAGGACACAACCAAGAGAAGGCAACAAAAUCUCACCAAGGAAUGAUGAAAGCUGAGAGAGGAAGAAGAAGAAGAAGCACUCUGUGCCAUCUUUUUGUGAUCAGUCUUUACAACUUUCUGAUCAGGUUUAUGAUAAAGUUGUUCAAAAGUCUUUGCUCAUGAAAUUCUACAGUCCAAUCUCGCUCUCUGGCCAAACAGCAGUUUUCACUGUAGGUCUCAAUUAUGUUCAUAGAUGCCAUUGGUGAUGACCAAUGAAGGGGGAACUGAAGCGGAAGAUGAAGAAUGUGGUAUUUGCGCCGUUUUCCUUAUUCCUAGUUAGUAAUUCAAUCUUCCAUUUGCCUCAAUUGAGUUGACAACAAAUGUGCUGAAAAUCUCAGAAAAUCGGAAGGGAAUGUCUUCAAAGUUCAAACAUAACAGAAGGAAUGGUGAGGAUUGUAGCUACCUCUGCUACCAGGACCUUCUCAUGUGGACUCCGGUGCCGCCUCCUCUGUGGGGUUUCUACAGAUAAAUUGUGGAUACUCCUUGCAAUAACCGUUGAUGAUCGUGGUGUACAUGAUCAAAUCUAGCUCCUAGUCUCUGAGUCUUCCAAAUUCUUCAGCAAUCGAACCGCUUUCCUAGUAUUGCUGGUUCUGCAGAAUCCCUCGCUAUGGCUCUGCACGUGGUUAUAUCUACCUCAAUUCGUCUGGCCAACAUUUCAUCUGCCAAGCUCAUGGCUUCGGCAAUUCUACCCUCUCCAACAAGCCCAUUGACCAAAGUGUUAAAGCUCCCAGUUGUGGGUUCAAGUCCAAGUUUGACGAUUCCACACAAAACUGAGGACCGAAGAUUGGACCUUUUCAAUUGGCAGAGGUAAUUCAUCAAAAUGCUGCGGGUAAAAACGUUAGGAGUCGUUCCUUUCGAACCCAUCCGCUCGAUCAUGUCAAUGGUGAUGGCGUAAUGCUUCAUAUUGGCCACAACCCCCCAAGAGUCGGGCGAAACAGGUAGGUGAAGGCAGAGGGUCCACUCUAAUCGUCCUCUCCAAGUAGAAUAAGGCAUCCUCAGCUUCCACCAAUGCGCCAUUUCUGCAUUGGUUCACCACAAAGGCCACAAAUUGAGAUCGAUCCAUUGAAUCACUCCCUCCAGUAGUAGAUUGGGAUGAAUAAGUGAGAGGCUUAGGGAGAUCCCCAGAUUCUCGAACAAGACGGUGAAGAGCACAAGUGCAAAUGGAUCGAUUCAUUCUCAUCAGUUUCGCCAAAUUUUCUCCUUCCGAGUUCCGAGAAUCCACAAAUUGACGUGAUGGUGUUUGGAGAAGAUGAUUGUUAGGCAGUUCAAUCACCGAAGAACAUAGUUUUCCGUUCAACCUUUGAAAGCUACUUUGGUUGUCAAACUGAACAUUCCUAGAAAUACUUGAUCCAUUCAUUGUCAUCAGUUUUGCCAAUCUUAUUGUCUCUCUCCGAACAGGUGAUUGAAUCUGCAAGGCAGUUGAAGAGAGGUCAGUAUGCAUAA